rnacentral:lncRNA from 1 species
AUGACAUCAGCCUAGAUAAAGCUCAUAAGUGCCUAUACUCAAGAGGGCAGCCAAUAUACAUAGAUCAAGGCAUUCAUUCUCUUCAAGAAACAGAAGGAGGUUAGCCUAUCCCUGUACCUGCCAAAAACAAGGAAGAUGAUUGAAAGCAAAAUCCCCAUACCUCUUUUCUGGAGUGUUAGCCUUAUUCCAAAGUACAGCCACUUGAUUUUCCCUCUAGUCUGAACUCCAUUUCUCCUCAUGUCCACUUAUA